ensembl:lncRNA
CCAUGAAAAUCUGCAUGCAAAUGCAUAAUAAUCACAAAUCUACAUUAUUACAAUAUUAAAAAAUACCUACAAUUAAAUUAUCAUGUGGAAAUAAUCAUAAUGUUAUUGGAAACUCAAUUAUUGUGGCAACCCUUGUCAAGGAAUUAGCAGGCUAUGGCAAAGGCAAGUCAGACCUGAAUUCAUCAAAUAUAUAUUAUCACAAUAUUACAUGUUCACUUCGAUUCCAUGCAAAGACAAACAUCCUCACUCACUAGUAUCUGCUCAAUGCAUUUGUAUUAUUCAUGAACAACUCUGUGAUCUAUUAUACAUACAAAACUGAUUGUACGCUGCUUGCCGGAGGCUACAAUGCAGAGACACAGAAUUAAUUUUAUUAUAUACACAUGCAUGAUAAUUGUGUAGAAUUCAGUCAAAUAUCAAACUCUGCUCCUGUGCUCCAUUAUUUUACUUUCCAAAAAGAGGUCUAAGGUCAGCAGCAAUUUCUCUUUGGCGACGGUGAAACUCUUUGUCAUUUAGAGUAGAAAGUUCCUGGGUACUAAUGAGCCUGGAGCUGUGAUGAAUGGUCACACAUUCCCUUUCCUCUCCAACCUCCACUAAUCAAAGGGAGACUGUAACUUUUAUUGAGAUUCUCAAGAAUUCCUUGCCUCUUUGCACACAGAAUUCACUUUGGGCUGCUGACUUAGAUACUUCAUUUGUCAGAGAUGAAGGCAACACUUAUGGCUUCAGAAACUUGACUACAAUUUUCUGAGAAGAUGAUCAGUACAACUUGAAAAACUUGUUUUCAGAUAGAUUUUUAUUUCUGUAAGAGCUACUGUUAUUUCAGUAAACUCUUAGAAAUGCUUUCAUAGGGCCAUUUUUCCUGUGAUAUGUUUUCACUAAGAACAAGCAACAACUACCUGUCCCUUUCUUCAACAGGGCAAGGAACAUACAGUAUGAUCCUUACCUGCUUCCAGAUCUUUUGCCAGAAAAAUAAAGAUGAGUACCAUCCAAAAAAAUUAUGGUUGUUUUGAGAUAUCGGGAGUGAGACAUAUCAAUCUCCAAAGGAGCAUUCAACAAGCUGCACUACAUCAAAGUACUGGGCUGCAUUCUAACAUGACUGAAAGCUUGACUUCAACAUGUUUCUGAUUAGGUAAAUGCCAGACCAACUGGGACAAAUGGCAUACGUGUGAAUCUCAGCAACACUAAGUAUCAAACCCUGAAUUUUAUUUAUUUAUUUUUAAUUUCCAUUCACUCUCAUUAUCCAUCCAAUAUCUGAACUUUUGGCUAUCAUACUCAUCUGAGUUUUAGGGUUGAAAAAAAUUUACUCCUUGCCCAGCACAUUCAGAGUAGAGUUCCAUUCAAGCAUAUUUGACAUUCACUCUUGCAUUACUGCAUUGCUUUCAAGAGUCAUGAGCAGAAUGUGUGCUUCACAGCAUUUAUAUUCUAGUUUCACAGAAUUCAGAGAUAAACUGUAGCAAGUACUCUCUAGAAUUUCUCUAAGUCUACUCAUCUGUCAGGAGUAAACAUCCUCAUCUUUAAAUCUUUCAUAUAUUUAUGUCAUGACCAGAAUCCAUCAUUUCAUAUAGCUAAGAACAACAUAGGAUGAUCUGGAUUUAGUAUUGCAUAGCUCACAAGCCUGCCCUCAAAAUUUACUAUAAGUGGGUAAAGCCAGCAUUGUUCUAAUUAAGCAAUGUGAAAGACAUAAAAUCUCAGAAAAGAAAUGAGCUAACCCCUCACAUAGUAUGAUGUUCCAUCACAACAAAUAAUGAAUAAACAAAAUUGGUCUUCUUAUCUUGGCUGGCUCAUGGUAAUCAACAACAGAAGUAGCAAAAAGCACAGCUCUGACAAGUCUCCAGGGCAGCACCUAAAAUGCCAGAGGCAUGGAAGAAAAGACCUUGCAUUGAAAACCAACUCAGUAACGCAUUUUGUCAUUAAUUGCUUAUAAAAGAUAAAGUUCUUAAAAAUAUCUGUUUUUCGGUAGGCAUAUGCUACAACUUCCUCAGUAACAGUAAUGACUCUGAGGUGCCAGUAUCUUUUGAACAUCUUUUUCUUCCAUGGUAAAUCCACUUAUUUCCUGCCAUAUCAGGCUAGCUAGGCAAUUAGGUGAGCAGUGGGACCUCAAGGCUCGGACAGUGCAAUUUCACUUCAGCCUUCGCUGUGGAAGUAGUUAACAAGAUAUUGGCUCAAAGAGAUUUUCCUAGAUUGUUAGCUUGACAUGAUCAGGCAGGCAGUAAUAUAAUGGGGAGAAAGACCCUACUGGAAUUGAUUAAUUUGUCACCAUUACCCAAGACCUGACAGUUUUUUCAUACAUAUAUGAAGUGUCAGUGGUUCCAGCUUAUUUCUCUGAUUAGAACUAAACUCAUGUAGUUUGGGUUCAGAAAGAAAUACAAAGUUUAAGAAAUUUAGUUUAACCUCAUCCAAACCACCAAGCCUCUUAACCAUACAAAGAGAUGAAAAUAGUUGAGAAGAUGCAUUUUUAUUAAAACUGAGAUUGUUGCUUUGUCUGGUGCACAACAAAAUACCUCCAUGGGUUACUCAGCAUUUUCCUGCUUGUCCUCAGCUGCUGACAUACACAGGAGAAAAGCAUUGCUGUUAAACCACAUUUUCCAAGCUUGUAAAAUAUCCUUAUUUUAAAAAUCUUGUAGCUUUUAAUUGGUUCGGCCAACCACAAUUAUUAGAAGCCACACUAGAACAACCAGGUAACCAGCAAACUCUUCUAAAGACAAGUGUUCUUGUUAUUUCUUCAGUUAACAUUUAUUUUGCAUGUAUCCGUAAAAUCACUACAUGGAAAGACUGUGCAUACACAGAACAAGUAUUGGCUUUAUUUUCUUGCCAGGCAGCAUUGCUCAAGCACAGACCUCUUGACAUUUAAUAUUCAUAGUGCAGAAGCAUCUACUGAUUCCAAUAAGAAACAAGAAACGUUGCGAGAGAUGUCAUACAAAAAAAAAGUCACAGUUCUGCCACAAAGUACUUUCAGUUAUACAGGUUGACAAAUCAACUAUUGCCACACUGUGUACAGUGUAAGAAAUAUUUUUCAGUGAUUUUCUAGUCACCUUUAAAAAGAAUUGACACUAUAGGUAGCUCUAUAUAGUAAUGCAUAGGACAUUACUUCAGCAGUUACUGAGGCAAAAUAACUACAUCACCUUACCUUUGUGCACAUGUAUUUUAUGUCAGCAGAAAAUUCAACAUGAUAGUAUUCGCAAAGCUGAAUCUUAUUCAGAAGACAAAAAAUAAAAUUAGGCUAAAAUGAUGUACAAAGAAGAAUUAACAAUUUUUUUUUUUUAAUUUUCAUCUUAAUGGAAACAGUUUGACAUUUAAUUUCAGAAUUGAGUAAUUUUGCAUUUAUUUAUUUUUGAGAGAUGCACCCCUUUUCCAAUAUUUCCUUCCCAAAGAGACAAUCUAAUAAUGGUCUGCUUGUGUCUGUGUUAACAGAACUUUAACUCUUAAUGAAUAGGAGAAAAAAAAAAUGUGGGUUUUUUUUUUAGGUUUUGUUAAUAACAAUAUAAUUAUAUAUAAUAUAUAUAUAUAUAGUAAUUAAAAAAAAUCAAAUCUUUGCAUAGUCCUCUUAGCCAUGAUUGUUCUUCCUUUCUAGGAGGCAUAUUAAGAUAGAACAGAUUACUUUUGAGGUGAGUUUAGUGUUCUUUGGUAAAUGCGCAUUACUGGCUAUGAACAGCUUUCCCAAAGCUGGGUGAGAUCCGGGCAUAGGAGUAGUGUCCUCCAGUCACAUAGAUCCCCAGCUCUAUCUUCGGCAGCCCACUGACAGCUGCCGGCAACCCAAAUCCCCCAUAUGAGACAGUACAGGAUGCUCCUUCAAAUAUCUCCUUGAUGCCAAGAAUGUUUCUAUGGUAAUUCUGCAUACAAAAUUACAGGCUCGUGCUGUGUAAGAGGCUGUGCAAGGGCCCAAGGAGAUGAAUAAGCCUAUCUAAGGUUGUGCAUACCCAGGGGGCUUCCAUUAUUUUGGGUGCAAGGAAAUACAAAGAUGGAAUAAUAACAAUGUUGUGCUGCACUUCAAUUGUUAAAUUACUUCAAUACCUUGCUCACAGAUGUGCUCAUGUGAAUCUAAUCAAGCAACUCCUCUAAGACAGCAAAGAUUAUUUUGAGAGAUUAUUCCUGUUUUUACUACAGAAAAAGAAGUGCCAGCCUUUUAGGAUCAUUUGUACAUAAGUGCAUGUGUGUGCACACAAACACAGACAUCUUCCCUCUAUGAGCACACGAAAAAGCCAAGGCAAAAAAAUUCCCACAUACAGAACACUACUCUGAGAAAGAUAGGACUUCUAGUAACAGAUUUGCAUUUUCAUGCAAAAAAAAGAAAAAAAAAAAAAACCAAAACCAAAUAAAUCCAUGCCAAAAACUUGUCUGAUUGCUUAUCUACUUACACAUUUGUAACAAAGAACAACAGGGCAAAAGAAAAGGUGGCAUCAUCAGAAAUGGGUACCUGAAGAAAAAAGAAAAGAAAAAAAGAUUUUUCUAUGCCACUCUAAGUCCCAGAAAGGGGAGCCUUUCAAUAUCUUCUCAAAUAAUUUUUGCUUCAGACUCUAAGACAGCACAUUCAACAAUUCAAUUUGCUGUUCGAUAAUAGGGACCCAGACUGGCUUUUUAAUGCAUAAAAAGAAGUUGCAUCUUUUUUCUUUAUUUUUCUGUAUGUUUGUUUGUUGCUUACUGACAUCAGAUUUCCUGCAGGCAUCCUAACCUAGCAAUUGAAGAAAUUGCUCUAGGGUUUUCCAGGCAUAUAAUACACCUGGAUAAAAAGUGCUAAUUGUCACCAACUUCCAUUAAAUGACAGCAGUAAGGCACAAAAUGUGCUUGAUUUGCAGACGCUAGUGCCACUGGGAGUUAGCAGCAGAUUAAUAAUUGUGCAGACCUCGAACAUUCCCCUGGCACUGACAGUCUGGGCUUCCAACACAAUGCCAGAUUAUGAGGCCUUUGCUUUUAGCUUGCCUUCCUAAUAGGGCUCAGGCAAUUGCAAGGUUCCUCUGUACAUGUGUUUGACUGUUUGACCUUCCAGAAAGACUUCUGGUCAAUAUGAAUACAUUUUUUUGUGGGAGGGUAGAGGUCACAAACAGGCAAUAGCCUAAGCGGUUUUCUGAAAAGCAGGCAGCUGGGUGGACAUCAUCAAGCCUGAGUUUAAGUGCUCCUAAUAUCCUGACUUGCUAGGUUCUUGAAGAGAACUGAACCCUAAUUCUGUUCAUUCUAUUAGCACUAAGUCACAUGAUGAUCACAUCAGACUAUGUUCUCAGGUUUUUUCCUUCUUUUUUUUUUUUUUUUUUCAAUUUCAUGUCAUACACAAGCUUGAAGCCUUGAGUGCACAUCAAGCAUUACGGUAUUGCACAGAUAUAAUCUUAUUCCAGCUCCCUGCAGACAAAUUCAGGGGCCAACGCUUUGCCUUCCUCUUUCUUCUCGCUCUGCUGUUGCCAUUUCCUCUUUGCUCUCGGCACACGUGGGCACAUUCUCUUGGCUUGGAAGAAACCAUCUCAUGGCAUGCAAGCUUGCUGACGGCUCCAGUGGCAUUACAAAGCUCAUUUCUGCGUGCAGCAACAUGAUUAUGGAGAAGGAGAGGGCAAGGUUGAACGAAUGUGUUUUAACACUUCUUUCUUGGUAUUUAUGACUAUGCCAUAGCAUUCCUGUAACCUGGCCUGCUGCUGCUCCAGCUGCUUGUGCAAGCUCCUGAUCGAACGCAACAGCAGGAGUCUUCGGUACAUUGCUAGCUGGAGCCGAUACUUCUCCUUUUCCUCCUUUUUCUUAUUUUCUAGGGUCUCCAUUACUGUUGUGGUCUUCAUCCAGAUGGCUGAGCCCAGACUGCAAGGGUUGCCCUCAGUGCAGCUCUCCACAGGCCGUGCACUAUCAGCUGGCACAUGGCAGCACCUGAGGUUGUUCACCAACAGGGCCACGACUGCCCUGGGGGGCUUACCAGCCCCGUCAGGCAUCCCAGGGACACAUGAUGCUUCUGAAUCCUGGUCACAGCUACAGUAGACACUUUCAGAGCACGCCAUUUAUUGCACGAAAUACAGAAACUUUCUGUGGACAAAGUGGAAGCAAGAGGAUUUCAUUUCCACAUACACACAGGCACACAUACAGCAGACCUACGCAGAGUGACAUUUGAAGUAAGAACCUCUCCUUGUAUUUAACCAAUGGACCUAUUAAUUUUCUAAUAAAGCACAACCCUUGGGUCACUUCAGGCCAUUUUUUGUGAUUUGCAUUGGAUGUUCUUCGAGACACAACAUUCAUCCAAUAAUAAUUAAAAUGAUAUACUGUACUAUUAACAUUCUCAAAUCUUUAAAGCAAAGUGAUCUAUCCCUGCAGCACUGGCUUUGCUGACUAAUUAAACAGAAUACAGUUGUAAAUGGCUAUUGUAAGCACUUCUCCCAUUUAAGAACACAGCUCUAGCAAGUGUAGUUCAUAGAGAUGGGUGAGUUAUCAGGAUUGAUCUGCCCUAAAGAGGUGGAUGUACCACAAACAGCAGGUUUCAUUUAAAUGCCCUCUCUGAGAUUAAUCUGUCUGCUAGCAGUUUGUUUACAAGGUUGCCUUUUCCCCUCCUACCAACUCUAUCAGCAGAGCAAUAAUAGUACUAUGCUAGUCAUAGACAGGAAAAAAAGAAUACUUACCGAGGUUAGUGGGGGAAAGAAAAAGAGUUACAGUGCAUUGUGUCUGCGCAUCAUGUUUUCCUGAAUAUGAGUCAGCAAAAACUGGAACAGAAACAUCACUGUGAAGAAGCAGGAGCAGCAACAGCAUUACUCUAUUCCACCCAGCAACAACACAGUGAAUCCCAAUCACUGAGAAGUGAAGGGCUGACUUCACCCCCUCCUCCCCCCCCAUCCCUUCCUUAUUAAGAGGAUAUUCCUCCCUAGUAUUGAGCUUUGAUGUCAUCUUUGAGCAUCAAAAUGAAAACCGGGAUUGGAUGACAUUAUUUUUUACCACAGAUCCAAACAUCCCUGAUUCACUCAAUAUAUGGGGAUGAUACAAAUGGCUCAUCCUACCUCUGUCAAACAGCAAGGAGCAAAUACAGCUCCCAGAAGAGUGGAGGGCAUUCUGGACUCCAAUGCAUAUGUGCUCUUCUUCAGAGAAAACAAACUUAGAUAAACUUUAGAUGCAUGAACCCAAGAUGAAACAAGCUUUUGGCACCAACUGAAUGCUGAGCAUAAAGGCAGCCAGAAGGUGUAGAUUUAAAUGUCUAAUAUACACUUAUAUUUAAUUAUGCUGACCUAAUCUUUCAGGGAAAAAAGAAAAAAAAAACAACAACUCUGCAAUCAACUUAAAUAUCCAAUAAAAUAGUAAACUUCAUCUGCACCUUUGAUGUUUAGAAAAGCUACCUUCAGCAUCUUCUCCCACUUGUAAUGCCAGGAACAAAAUUCAAAAAAUAUCUAUCUGCAACUACUUUUGAGAAUCUGCCACAGGGCUUACACUGCCCUGAGGCUUUCUCUACUUUAUUCUCUUAAUAUGAAUAAAAGAAAGAACCAACCCAAAAUACUACCUAGAAUCUUCCUGGAGAUGGGAAAGAAUAAGGGUAGAUUCUAUCUCCACUUCUAUAUACAAUAGAACACAGAUAAUUAUUAUUUUUUUUUAAAUGUUUCAUCUGACUAUCUCUCUCUCUAAUUAAUCUGUUAAAUGAGAUAUAAUUCCAAGGUGGAACAUCUGAACUCCAGCUAACAAGUUCAGAUUUACACCCCAAAGUCUACUUGAACACUGUUUUCUUAUGUGUUCUAAAAAAUAUUGUACACUGAAUCGGUGAAAUAACUAAUUCUGCCGCGUUUAUGUGCCAAAUCAUGCUGCAGACUGUAUAAUUUAGACUAUGAAGAGAUUAAUAUGCUGUGAGUAAAUAAACUUUGCAAGGUUGUAUCUUAUUAAUUUCCAUUUGUCUGAAUCAGAAGUUAGGGUAAUUGGCAAGCAUAGAACUCAGAUACCAGGAAUUUUACUCCAAGAAUGAUCAUUAGAAUACAACAUUGUGCAUAAUCCUAGUUUUGGUUGUUCUCUCUCCAAAGCACCGCAGGUAUAUCUUGCCAUAUAAUCAUAGGCUCCAUAGAGUUGGACUAGAUGACCUUUAAAGGUCCCUUCCAACUCCCCUGCUAUGAACAGGGACCCCUACAGCUAGAUCAGGUCGCUCAGAGUCUGGUCCAGCGGGGCCUUGAACGUCUCCAGGAACGGAGCAUCCAACACGUCUCUGGGCAACCUGUCGCCCUGUCUUCCAAUUACAAAGAGGACAGUGGAUGGGUGUUGUAAGGUAAUACAUGGUCUCAAGCUAUGCCAACACGUUUCUACCAGUCAGUCAUAAUAUUCUGUUCUCCACUUCUAAUUUUGCAGCAAUUUGCUACAAAAUGAACAUUUUCUAGUAGUCCAACAGAACAUUAGAUAAGAGGAUAUAUAUUUUUCUAAUAUUUAAUCUCUCUGGAGCUUCAUUUUUUUCAGCAAAUUUUUACAGGCAGCAUUUUUCUUUGAAGGGAAGGAGUUUAAAAAGCCAUUUUGCAUAGUCAAUUGGGCUUAGAGCUUUAGCACAACAAAAAUACAGUAAGAUACAGAGUGAUACUGAAAUGGAUUAAAAUGUAUCACUUAUAGGCAAGUGUGCACGCAUAUUUCCUUUUUAUUCUGUUUUUCUUUAUUCAUAGUUUCCCAAAAUUUCAUCUAGUACAUCAGAUUGAAUUUUUCCAGGUUCAGCUGGUGCCUGAAGGUGAAUGUCUAUUGAACAGUUCAGACAAGGAUUGAGAUACUUAAAUUGGAAAGCGGGAACAAAAGCAUGGGCUUUCCAAGAAAACAGAGAGAUCAAUAGAUACCUUUCAGGAGAAUUGCAUUCUGUAUUUAUAGCGAGGGUAUAAGGAAGAACAACACAGUCUAUUUCAAAUGGAAACACGUAAAUUCUUGUUCCAAGACAACAAUCUUACUUUCCCAAGAUUGGACAAAAUAACUCCUAUUGGCUCUCUUUUAUUUACAAAUCAACAGGUUAACAAAGAGACAAGAAAAGACCUUAUAGAAGCUUCUUCUGUGAGAGGCACAUUGUGCUAUUUCACUUCAUGAAGAAAGUGUUGGAAGAGUUUGCUGCUCCAACUGAGAGUCUGUUGCAGGCUUUAUUGAAUGCCUGUUGCUCACUUUGGACCUCCUUUCUUAGGUUAAAUCUGUGUGAAGCUUUCCAGGCAGAAGCUGCUUCAAAUUUCACAGUGAAUUCAUCUGUCAGUCCAAUACAAUGAACAUUUCAGGUAUUCAGAAUGAAAGCAAGAGCGCUUCCAGUUGAGGGUCACUGCGUUUUAUUACUACCCAUUCACAGGUAGAUGCGACCACGUUAGUUUCAAGGUGUAGACUCUACUUAUUUACCUCUAAGCUUACCAGCCAUGUACAUCCUUGCAAGGUCUGUGCCAACAGUGUUUUUUUAAAUUCAUCGCCUCCAUCAGGUAUUAGCUGUGAUAGGUACUUGGUAACCAGCAGUCUCAGAACCAUAAAUGUGUUCUUAAGUGUUCCAUGGUUGCAUGUUUGUGUGAUUGGGGUGCAUGUUAACACAUCACACAAGGACACGAAAGGGUCAGAAGAGAAUUCCUGCAGAGUCACAACAGUUAACUCUCACCUUCCACUGUAAGGCCACUCAACGGCUUGGACAGAUGUGAGGACAGGAAGUCUUGUUUUUUAUUAAAUACAAAUGUUUUACUGAAGUUCAAAGCCUAACAUUCAAACACACAAGCAGCAUCAGAAAGUGACAAGUGUUGGUGGAGACAUGCCUUUACAAGACUAUGGCCUGGGAUGUUACGUUGUUUUGUAUUUGGGUUUGGGGAGUACUUUUAACAAAGUAGUAAAAAAUAUCCUAUUACACAGUAGUGUAAUUCCAUAUUUUAUAUUAAUUGCUCUUAAAGAUCAAAAGCUAUAUUCUGUCUGUUAAUGUACACACUCGCAUGGUCUCCUAUGAAAUCAAUGAGAUCCACAUGUGUGCAUCUGAGACCUAAAUUUCUCCCCAAAGAUUCUUUAAAAUCCUUUUACAGAGCAGUAAGUCAUAGAAGAAAGUCAUGUGUUCCCUUUCUUCUGCCUCUAUACCCAAGCCAGACAUGAAUUAUUACUGCUGCUCCGAAUUACACUGGAUGAUAACGGUACCCAGAGGGGUCACUGGCCAGCCAGAGAUUACCAUUGCUCAGCAUGUUCUGUUCUCACCUUCAUACAUUCCUCGUCAUUUCUGCAGUCCUCUUACACCAGCAAAGAAAUGCAAAAUAAAUGCAGCCCAGCUUCACACUAAGUCUACUGAGGAGACUGGAAUGUGCUAUAGGUAUUUAAGUGGCAGGCUGAAGCAUGGUGGGAUACCACAAUGGCUUUCUAUGGCCUGGCAGAACAAAAUUUGGUAUAUGCACACAGCUGCAAUGUAAUCACAUUUGCAGAUAACUGGAAAGAUUUUAGACAGAAAGUUAAGUAAUAUGUAAUUUUACUUGUGGGGAAAAGUUCAGUGUCUUCAAAAAUGAACGUACAGGAAUCCAGUCAACCAUCUUUAUAUUAAGUAUAAAAAAACCCACUGAAACAGUCUGCCAUGAUUGGCAAAAAUUAGCAAGACUGCUGUCAGUUUUAGCAGAAUUGCCUAUGAGAGAUGCAAAUCUCUGAAAGAGUAGCUCAGGCUAAGUCUGAGUUGAGUUUACAAGCUUGAAAAUCUUGUGACAGCAGGUACCAAAACAGCUUGAACACUAGGAAGGGCUUGAUGACAACUUUCACCAUAGUAUUUCAGCAACUCAACUUCUAACCCUGCUUGAGCCCAAAUAUUCUCAGGGACAUACAAUGAAAAAUAUACUGAUAUGGCUUCAUGAAGAUAUCCUAACAGCAAAAUGCUUUGACUUUCGAGGCAGCAGCUGUUCUCCCUGUCAUCUAUAUGGAGAACAUUAGCCUGUGAUUUGAAUUCAUUUUAACUAAGAAUAAUGCUGUCCUUGCCUAAACCAGUACACAGUACACAACCCACCAUCUGAUCCAUGGAGCCAUGUUGGUCCACUGAAACAGUCACCAAGAAGUUUCUAAAGUCUUGUGAGCUCAGGCAUCUACUUCAGCUGCAACAGCAGGCGCUUAGCUCUGCACAGAGGCUGAAGUGAAACUGGAAGAUCAAUGGGCAUAUGUAGCUGGGGUCAUGCUUGAUUCAGUGUAUGUCAAUUCACUGACUGAAGGAGGCUGACUUAUUUCAAUACAAAGAGUAAGUUAAGAAUGUUCCAUAACAGAAAGAAAAGGAGGAAGUAUUAGAUAUUCAGGGCAUUUGCAGCACAUGCUCUGUGAGGUAACAGAUGAAAAGAGAAAGCUUUAUAUUGAAUUCAAAGAAACAUGAAUCUUGAGAACAACCAAUUUACCUGUUGUUUUUUUUUUUUCCUCCAAUGAAAAGAAUGGCUGUCUAUAAUCCAUUACAAUUGUACCAAAAAGAAAAAUAUGAUUAUAAGCUGAAAAAAGGCUAGAUUGCAAAUAACAGCUUCCUUCGGAUAUUAGAGUGAAAAAAAUCCCAAACAUCAGUGAAAGUUUGAUUAUUUUUUCCAAGAAUAAAGAAAAGAUUAAGUUUAAUGGUAUCAAAAUUAAAGGUGAACUUUGAUGGUUCUCCAAUGGAGAGCAGGUUGUCCUGCUCUUUUUAAACAAAAAAAAUAUCUUAAUUUGGAGGGAUGCCUACCAUUUUGUUCAGCAAUCAAGAAAAUGUGGAAGAGAAUGGGGAGAAAAAAAAAAGAAAAAACUAAGCAGAAAGAUCAGGUAACUGACAUGCUACUAUAGUCUUCGUAUGGAGAAGAGAGACUAAAAAAAUCUUCCUGCAAAAAAAAAAAAAAAAAAAAAGGUACUUGAAAUAUAUUUGAAUAACCUCCAGUAUUAAAAGAUUCAUAAGUAUUGCUCAUAAAUUGUUAGAACUCCAUGCCUAGCAGGUAAACACUGGAUUACUCAACAUAGCCGUUAGAUUUCAGAUGUGAAAAUGAAAGUAUGGACUCACGUGUCUAGUUAAGGUUCACGUUUUGUAUGCAUUGAGGGAAAAAUCCUUUUUGUUGAGGAAUAUGUAAACAGAGCAUGUACUUUUUGAUAACUGAUGUUUAUGUUUACUUUCUUUUUGACAUUUAAGUAUAACUGACAUACUGAUGGCUAAGGAAAGAAGACAACUAAGCUGGAAGAAUAAUAAACAGAGCGCUGUGAGAGAUGGAAGAGAAGAAAAACAUGGUGGGAAGAACUGAGGCAGUGAGGCUAAGUUGCAAAUGAGCAGACAAGUAAUAGCUUGGUGUUUCACCACAAUAUCAAAUGAACUUUCAGAACUUUUCAGAAGUCAAAUGCAUUUAAAAUAAUUAACGAGUUUGCUUUAAAAAGCAUAUGCAUCUUCUCUCUUGUCUGUUAAGCCAGAAUGAUACAAGGAGAGAUUGUGAAGAAAAUUAUAUCUACAGGCAUUGUUUUUUUGUUAUUGUUGUUAAAAAUAUUUCCACAUUAAGUGGCAAAAGAAAAAGAAAGAAAAAAAUGUAUUCAUGUUCUUUGAGCCUAACAAUUUCUGUGAAUCUUAAGAUCACUCUUGAGGACCAACUCUACAGAUCAUCAUCAAGAGGUAAAAAAAGAUCACACCUGGAAAGAUCUGAAAAAUUCUGUUUUCUCAUUUAGCAUGCCUCCCUGCUAAACAUACGUGUCAAUCCUUGCAUAGCACCCCGAGCAAUCCAGCUUUACUCAUAGUGUCUGCAUAGACGCCAAUACUGUUUGUGUUCAACACAAACAAAAUCAAAAACUUUAAGUUCACUUGGGGCUGAGAAGGACCUUAAUACCUUUGAAGCUAUUAGUGUGACUGAAAUGGAUGAGACCAAACAGGAUACACAGCUGUCACCAAAACCCACAAACUGAGCACUAUGUAGUGUUGCUGAUAUAAACCUCAUUUACAUGAGAGCUAACACAUGACUCUGAGAGAAGGCACAUGGACCACUGGGUUUGAGGUACGUGAUCAUGUCCUUAUCUUGCACUGCUCAGCAGACUGUAUUUUUGCACCCUGCUUCCAGAGGUUAGCAUAAGCAUGGAAAAUUCUUUUACACAUUUAAUUACACUCUUACAUCUAGAGGCCCUUUGCUCCGUUUAUCAGAGUCCAACUCACUGUCUAUAGAAUUAUUAUCAGACAAAUCCCUGUCUCUUCCUUCUAAGUAAAAGGUUUAAGAGAUUAGAAAGUAGAAGAGAAGCCAUAUACAGCUAAUGGAGGACAAGCCUCCAAAUGUUUGGAGGUUUAUUUCAGAGAUACAUAUCUACAUACUCUUAUUUUUUAACAGAAGAACAGAUACAGAGUCCAAUUUUGACUUGCUUGAACAGAGGACAGGAUAAGAAAGAACACUCUGAGAUAUUACCCUUCUGAAGUCUCUAGCUGAACAGAAGAAAUAAUGUGUUUCCCAGCAAUAAAGAGUAGUUAGGUACUGAAUGUCAAAAUUGUAAUGUUCUGAAGUUCCCGGCAGCUCUACCUGCUUGAACCCCUGCUGAACCUCCCCACGCUACCUCCUUGAGCCCCAGGCAAAGGCCCUGCUACAAUUGAUAUCUGUAGUCCUAAAUCCUUGUCAUACCCAGAAGGUGCUAGCAAUCUGCCAUUAAACUCCAGUAACACUAGGCCAACAUUUUACCCUCGGUUAUGCUCACAGAGCUUCCUUUAGUGCAAUUUGACCAACAUUAAAAAUGGAGAGCAAGAACAUCAUCAGCUAUCAACGCUAUGUUUGCCACACUGCAAGCCUUCUCAGCUAAAGCACCACCAGCCUCACUACUUUUAGUUGUUCCAAACUAGAUUCCAACAGCUAGUGGAGGUAUUGUACUAAUUAAGAUUUCGAGAGUAGAAAGCGAAAUCAUCCUGUCUGACCUCACACUUGGCAUAUUACAGUUCCUUGCUUUCCUACACGAGAUUGUAUUGAUAACAACCAAUUGCCAGUAGGGAUCUGAGGCAGCGAGGUAAAUAAAUAUAUAAAUGCCUCCAUAUGUGUUCUCCACUUCCUUAAGCAAAAAUAAUGAGUCAAAUGAGUGAAAGAUCUGCAGCUCUCUUUUGUAUAUAGUUGCUGUACAUAUACCAACAUGGAAGAAGCCUUCCACAGACUUCUGUCAUCACUCUGGUAAGUGAUAAUUCAAACAGCCAAUCUGCUGAUUUAAGGAAGUUGCAGGAGGAAAGUUGCUGUUUUGUUACUGUAUAAGGGUGGCACAUCUCUGCAGCUUCUUUUGGUGCACGUAGUAAGAAUGAGUAUAUAACAUGUAUGCCAGAAGGAAGUGGAAUUGGACAAAUACAGCAAGUUAAGGCAAUCCAAAGCUUUGAGACAAAGAAAAAAUAAAUCCAUUAGGAAGGACACGUAGGACAUGCAUGAACAACACCCAUGCAUACCACCUAAGAACUUGCUUUCUUGCUUGGAAGAACAAAUAGCAUUUUCUCUCUGAACUCUGUUCAUUUUGCAGACAAAGCUACCAAGCUCACUGGACAAAAGUACAAAAGUCAUAAGAGAAGUAGAAGGCUCAAUCUUGAUAAUUUUUCUCAUGCUAAGGAAAGCUUUCAACACACAGGAGGAACUGCCAUGUGGAGUAGGUUUCUCUUCUCUUUCAAAUAAGUUAACUUUCAGAUUACUAACUCUGCGGUAGUACACCUUAACCAUUAGGCACAUCUGACUUACGGACUGAAAGCUCAAACCUUAGCACUGUUAAAGCAGGAACUCUUGGUCGUAUGUUAAAACUUAAAAGUCUCUGGAUGAAGAGACAAUGGAUUCGAUCUAAUUAUUAGUCUCUUUAGUCAUGCAACUCAUGAGAACAAAAGCCUAUGAUACAGACAUGGCCAAAAGUGAAUUUGGCAGAGUAUCACAUCUCAGGAAUAGAGGGAGUGACAGUCAGUGCUGUAGAUAGUGCAAGGGCAGAGCAUGGAGAAGAUGAUCCUUGCACUGAUAUAGCCAAAUAGCUUUCUGGCAACCACUGUUAAAGGUGUUUCCUGAGCUUGACACUGCAUCUAGAUAAUUACAUUUAAUAGCCAUUUAUGGAAUGAUUUGCCACCCUUGCCUUUUGGCUUCUAUAACAUCCCAUGGCAAUGAACUCUGCAAUUGCCUUCUAUGUUGUGUGAAUAGCAUUGCCAUCAGCACAGGCCACACCUUCCCAGGGAUUCAGUAAUACGCUGACAUCAUCUUACUUUUGUCUUGUUUAAUCUCAUGAAACAUGAGCACUACAGCAAAGAUUUCCAUGUCUGUCUGUUUUUUUCCAGUGUGAAAAAGCUCUUUUAAAGGAACAGCUACCAAUAGGCAAGUGAGCCAGAAUACUUUUGUGCAGGAAUGUGCGUUUCUCACAUAGCUCAGGCUACCAAAAGGAAUACAAAUAUUUGCAGGAGUAGAAAAAGAUGCAGAAAGGACAGUGAAUCCUCUCACUGCUGAAACACCCUAAGUAGAAGCAGUGGAGACUCCAAGGAGAAGAAGAGUCUGGAGAAAUCAGCAACUUAAGAGUAACAGUGAAUGAGAAGAAGAGACUGGGAGAGGGAAGAAAAAGGCCUCUGGAUUUCCACCAGAAUUAAACUGGAGAAAUGGGAGCAGGAGGGGCACAGGAGAAGCAGGUUAAAGAGAUUUUGCUCCUAUCUUCGUCAGCAAAGAGGGAGUAGGAAACAAGACCCGGACAGCAUUUCUCCCAAGUCUGCUGCUCUAGGCAACUGUUUACUUUGCUUUUGCCCAAGAUAGCGUGAGACGUUAUAAAAUGAGUUUCCACAAUGCUCUGAGUCACCAGAAUAUGGAUGAGAUCUGUGGAUUCAAGCCACCUUUCAAGAUUAUGAAUCUCUUCUGAAUAUCCAUUAUGCCAAUGAUACAUAACAAAAUCACUGCUGUAAUGUGAUGCACAUGUCAACUUUAAGGAUACAGUCCCUGCUCAGAUGGCAUCAGCAUAGGGAAACGUCAGCAUGGUGGAUUACCAGAGCAAAUGCUUUAACAUGCAAUGUGAUGCAAUGUGUUUUAACAACAAUUGUUCCCUUAUGUUUGUUUGUGUCAGGUUUGACGUGACUAUCCGCCAGGACAAUGCUCAGGAUUCUGUGUGUUGCAUUGCAGAAACUGAUUAUGUGAUCAAAUGCUUAAAGCACAUAAAAUCACGCCCAAGAUUCGAUGAGAUAUAUAUGCCAGAAAAUUCAGUAGGUGCUUAAAGUAAUUGACGCUAACAGCUAGACCUGGGUUUUUCAAAGGAAUAAGCGUUUUUGUUUGUUUGUUUUUCCUAAUGCAAUAUAAUAUAAACUGCCUAGAAAUUCAGCCUUAGCAUAAUGUUCAGAUCAAAUGAAAUUCACCCGUUAAGAAAGAACAUACACAGGGUCCUCCCUGAAGUGGAAAAGACAGCCUCUGAGUAGAACAGAUACCCUGGGAGACUUCUUACCCUGUGCACAUGCCCAAAAAGACAGCUCUGAAUCUAACUGCAUUGUAGAUCUAAUGCUUGUAGGAUUUGGAGGCUCAACGCUGAGCUGUAGCUCUCAGCAGCCCUUUUUCCCCAGUCCGUGAAACUCAGAAUCCAGUGGAGACAAAAACCUCUAUAGAAAUACUGUAUAUGUAAAUGGACUUAGAAGAAAAAGGGAGGGGUACCUGCUCUUAAAUUAGUCAUAUUUAAAAUGUAUUCUCAGAACACACUGAACUAUCAAACAGUCCCCAAAGUGAAGAAAUGUGAUUCUCAUUCAAGACUUAAGAGCAAAAGGCAAAACAACUGUGUCCCUUGCUCCAAAGUCAUUAUCUCACAUUAAGACUUCAUCCUGUUCUCCCAGUUCAGAAUUUAGUCUGGUUCUAAUGGCUCACUAGACAGUUUUGCAAGAUCUUCAUGCUCUCAUAGGUAUUUAGGCACUGAAAUCAGUGAGAAGUGGUACCUGUACACUUUCAGAAAUCUGUCUUUAAUUUCAACAUCCCAUAAAUUUUUUUAACAAAAACAUCCUUCAUCUUUUCUGCUUCACAAGUGAGUUGUGAAGCUUAAUUACACAAUGAUUAUGAAGUCCAGCAAAUACAACAUAUAUUAAGAGUAGUUAAUGAGAUUUCUGUCACAAGCAGACUCCCUCUUGUAAAAUAUUACUCACAUGUUGCAGGAAAAAAAACUCAAGAGAAAAAAAUACAGAUGCAUUAAAUAUAAAACAAAUCUAGCUUGAUUACUUCCACAAAUAAUAUGUUAUACAACUCUAAAACAUCUGUCAGGACAGCAUAGAGAAUAGCAUAGGCUUUUCUGACCAGAAUGGAAUCCUGUCAGCACGGAAUUCUGUCAGCACAUCCAUGUACUCAUUUUUACCUGCAGUGCCCAUCCAAGACAGGGCCUCCAGACCCACACACGAUCUGCUUCCCAUGAGAUCUAGUGGCUUAAAUACCUUCAAAGACCAGACAUGAAGUUCUGUUCCUUCAAAUCACAGAAUCAUGGAAUCAUAAAAUGGCUUGGGUUGGAAGGGACACCCAAGGAUCAUCAAGUUCCAAUCCCUCUGCUGCAGGCAGGGCCACCAACCUGUGGUGGUUGUAAAUAUUUCCCAAAAAGAUGCCAGCAUACUAACCAAUUACCACAUUUAACAGCACAGUGGAAGAUGGCUAGACAACUAUGAGCAGACAGACGAUCGUACAGAAGGCAUUGCUUGCAUACUUAGUGAUUUCUCAGGCCAUAACAAAGCAUACAGCCUAACUAGGGUAGGAGGACUCAAAAGAGGAAGACCAUUCCUUAAUAAUACAGAGCUCUUUGGCACAUUUCUUUUCUGUGAACAAACAGUGUAGCUGUUAAAAUACAUUUCCUGUUAGCAAUUAUGGCUCAGAGCUCACAGACGCUUUUACAGAACUUGGACAGGAGUGAUUUUCAGUACAUAGUGUCUCUAACAGCAAGUUAUAUUAAUAUUCACCAAAGGAAAACCUGUUUGUUGACCCAAAGUGUGACUGCUUACAAUUCUCUUCUUGUGAAAUUAUUUAGGUCCUGUGGGACAACUGUACUGAGCUUUUGACGCAAAUAUUAAAAUUCUAUUUAAAUGUACAAUGUUUUAAUGCAAAUUUUUACCAUAAAACCAAAUGCUCCAUUCAGUUAAAUUAAUAGAAUUACAAAAAGAUGUAAUGAUAGCAAUUAAGUCUUGAAAAUGCAAAUUUUAUAGUCAAGGACAAUUACCUCAUUUAUAGUAUCCUGGAAUGAUGCCAGAUGAAGGUAAUUUAGAUCUCCCUAGCUCACAGUUAUAUCAUGAAGGAUAUCUUAAUUUCAUUAGUACAACAAAGAUGGGUGAGAACUUGGACAAUAUGAAAAAAAAAAGGGAGGGAGAGAUGGGAGAGAAAAUUUGACCUUUCUCAUUUCACCGCAACUAGAAUACAUAGAUCUUACUAAAGGAUUAGUAAUAUUUCUUUCUAUUCCUAUCUCUGGGGAAAAAAAGGGGGGGGGGGGGGGCACUUUUUUCUUUUCUUUUUUUUUAUUAGCAGCAAUGGAACAUUAGUAUGAAAAAGGUCAACUCCCUUCAGAUUCUUAGAGCCACUAUGCCCACAUCACAACAGUUAUGGACCAUUCCUUCUUUCAGUUUUAAGGAUGAAUACAGCAUUGGCUCUUGGCUGACAGAGUAUCAAGCUAUGGCCUAGGGACACAUGGUUUUGACUCCAAUAUGAUUUAAAAUGUUCUUGAAAAAUUCUUCUUGCUCUUACAAAUACAGCCCCACUUCAUCCAAAGAGGCAAGUCAAAAAUCAUCAGUUUCUCAUUAGCAAGCAAAGAGUGAUCAAGUAGACAAAGAAUACAGAUUGAUAUGCCAUAGAUUCAGUAGUCUCCUUUGAAGGAAAAACAAAACCAAACUCUCAUACAAGUUCUUUAGCACAUUAUCAAGUUCAAAUAGGAGUUUGCAAUACUGCAGAUAUCCCUCUUCCUUUCCUUUCUCUUUGCUGUAGUAGCUACCCUUGACCCUUGAAGAGAUUUCAAAAAAAAAGCAUAUUAAAUAAGGUGCACCAUAAAGUUUAAUUUUAAAACUUUACAACUCUCAAUUUUUCUUCCUGGCCUGUUGUAGCCACUGCAAAGAAACUCAACUUCCAGAAAAAUAGCUGCAUCCACCUAAAAUCUUCUUACAUCAAAUUCCCUUACCAAACCUAACAUGUAGGCUCUGGAGAGAGCGGAAACCUCCAAGGACAGAGUAGCAAACUUCACCUCUCUCCUUAUCUUGAACACAACUAACAAAGAUAACAUGAAAAAGCCUUCCCAAGAGUAGAAAUAUCUGCUUACCGUCAGCAUUUGGUGGUUUUGCUGUAGAUGGUGCAUGCUGAAGCCAUCCCAACCUCCUGCUGACAAACCUUUCCUUAACACCCUGAGAUAGGCAGGUUCUAGAGGAUCGGCUUUAUAACUUCGAACAGCACCACAUAGCGACAGGAAUGCAGCAUUAGAAACCCCCAACACUCCUCAGAAAGGGUUUCUUCCAUCCAGUUAUUCUGUUUUAUGAAAAACAAGCCUUUUCUGAAGGAAAAAGUACCUUAAUUUUUCAUGUCAACGAUGCUAUCAGUCACCUCUGCCGCUUGAAAACAAUGGAUGACACUCUGGCUCAAGGAAAGCCACCUGCUUCCUUUGGGGUUAAGACGUCUUUUGGUGAAUUUCAUCUCCUAUCAAGCAAUAGCAAAAUUAGAGCUUGUACCACUAUUGCCUUCGUUCCGUGCUUUUGAUGCUUAUAAUCCCAUUACACCUGACAACUUAACCUGAGCUUGUUAUUCAUAGACAUGUAUGGUCUGAUGAAACAUUCCCAACUCCUGAAAAAUCUUUUUGUGUGUUGUUGGGAGAUUUGGCCUAAUAAGAAGUGCUUGAGUGGGUGUAGACUGGGUAUGUUUGUGCCAUAUUAUACAAUAUGGCUUAAAUUUCCAUGGCAUUUUAUUGGAAAGUGUGAACCUGACAAGCUAAUAGUUUGUGAAUCUGUUGAGUCUCUGCUGUUGCAUGGAGAAACGUUUUGUCUAGGCUAUUCCCAGUAUGCUUCAAUUGUAAAAAAAACAGGCUGCGAUCAUAACACAUCUUCAUGUAAAUCAAAGUAAAUUUCUGCAGGACAAUAUUUACCACUGUUAUGUACCGCAGAUCUCCCAAUUCCUCAUUUGACCUAACAGUCGGAAUGAUCUCAGGCCAGCAAUAAGCUGAAUACUGGUUGCUAAGUAAUAUUUAAUUUAAGCAUGAUGUUGUGGUCAACAAAAUGAAUUAGCAUUUUCUGCAUUAAUGAAGAUCCAGGCCUAAAAUCAAAUGAUGAUGUCAAAAAAUUAUGGAAAAUAUUAUUGAUCUAAUUCUUCCUUUUAUUACACUGACAGAGAAACAUGCUUCUUGGAAAUGUUACAUGUGAAGGAAGAAUUUUUCCUAUUGCAUCUUCUUUCAAGAGAUUCAGUUUUCUACUCAGGACUCCAAGAGAGUAAUUUACAUUUGUGAUCACCCAGCCAAUUCAAGGCAACUGUGGAAAGAAACACUAGUAAGAAUUCAUUUUGUUGAUCUUAUCAUAAAUGUGAGAGAGAUUUAACUUUAUCCUAAAUUCCACUAAAACCUAGAAUGCAAUAAAGAAAUAAUCAUACAUGAAUUUGAGUCAGUACUGUUCCUCAUCAUUAGGCCACCUGACAAGCUAGAAAGCAACUUCGCUAGUGCAUAUUCAUUCCAAAUUAAUACAGUAAUUCUGAAAACUGUUUCUUUUUUCCCCUACUUUUAUGCAUUUAUUGCUUUAUUUCUCUAUUGCUAUUUCCAGUCCAUAAUGCAAUGCAGCUUGUGGAAUGUAAUCCCCUUUCUUCUCCUGACCAAACUCCACUCUGAAUGCUGCAUGGAUGGGAUCCUUUCUUUUCUGUUUUUUUAAUGUUUUUCUUCUCACUUUACAUAUUCUCAAAAAUGAGAUGAAUUUCUGAUUAUUUUCCAUUUUCCCCACUUUAUGAAUAUUAGAGUGGUUUUCUUUUGCAAUGUGGCUUGGCCUGCAUUUCAAAGUCCACAUUUUGAGUGGUUCCCUGUGAUUUUUGGACACUUGGCAUUUUCUGGGUCCAACUCAGAGAACUGUUUGAUUUUCAAAUAUUCAGAGCAUUCUCAAAGCCUGUUAAGUACAGACAAUACUUUCAGUGUUCUUUAGGUCCUUUAGGCUUAUUUUUUCAUUAACCCAAAACUGAGGUAAAAAAAAUCCUGUGUUCUAUGAAUUCCACAGUGUUGUGCAGAGAAGGGCAGUGGGAAAACUGAGUUAAAUGCAGGAUUCAAGUUUUUCUGACUCUUGCACAACUUGUUGUCUAAUGGACCCCAUAGGCUCUCAGCAAUACCAGCUGUCUCUAAAAUUCAACCAACAGUGGAAAUGACUACCGCUGUUCUGUCCAUGGAAAGCAUGAAAAGGUUAUUUAAAAAAAAAAAAAAAAGAGUGGCUUGCUUAGAUAUCACACAAAUGUAUUUGCUUUUUUUUUACUUAGUGAAAAGGCUGUAUUAUAAAAGUAAACUUUUCAAAACAGAAAAAGUAGGUAUCAAAUACAGGAAAGAAACAAAAAGACUAUAAAGUAAUCUUUACAAAAGCAGAUUGCACUGACACUGUCUUGCUCACAGUAACACACAAAGUAAUUUCAUAAAACCCAGCUUUUAUCUUGUUCUAAUAAAACAUCAAGCUAGCAACAUUAUGGUGAGGGCUUUCAUUUUCUUUUUGAUAUAGAUUCUGAUUGGAAGUAUUAGCUGAUGCAGCAGGAUAAAUAAAGAAAUGCCUAGAUUGUUAUGGUUCCCAAAGGUCAUUUUUAUGAAAAGAUCAGGAAAUAUGUUUCAUUGAAAUUAAAAGUAAAGCCAUAUCAAGUUUAAUAACAUUGUUACCAUAAUGACAUAAAAUUCAGUGAGAUGGUGUAAUGUUUAAUAUUUGACUGUCAAGCCUCUGCAGUGAAGCUGUGUGAAAGCAUUUAAACUUCUAAAACUGAAUUUCCUUUCAGUUUUAUUGCUGUUUUAUACCCAUCUCCUUUUUUUCCUUGCCGUAAUAUUCUGUGUUUCUUUGUUGAAUUUGAUGUUAUCAGUAAAAUACAAUAAAAACUCGUGGAGGGCCACAUCUCUGUUCCAUAGAAGACUUAGCAAGGCAUCCCCAGAUGACCAAAGGCUGUCUGUGCCAAAUCAUUUUUUCCAUCAAGUAAGAACCCCAGCAGUGUUGUAGGGCAUGGCAAGAGGGACGCUGUCAGGGCACAGCUACCCUCUGGGUUUUCUCAGUUGUGGCACUGUCAGAGGUGGAUUAAUAUGAGAAGCUGUAUCAGCCCUCAGCGAUUCUGGGAAAGGUCUGGCAUAAUGCCACUGUUCCUGGGUCUGCAUUCACAUAAACAAUUGUAAAGACGACUGAAGCCAGCAACUGCGAAGCCCGAGUGGUCUCUGGCUUUGUACAGCCUUUUGUUGGACACUGUGCUGAGUGCUAGGAUCAGAGAAUUGAAAAGUUUACAGCUUGGCACAGCUCUGCAAAAUUCUGAUUUUCAGAUAAAUAAACAAAACCCUGUCUCCAUCCCUGGGACCAAAAUUAUUCAAUACACUAAACAACAAGUAACAUUCUGGAAACAAAUUCUUUCUUUAAAAUGCAAGCUUGGUUUAGCACAUUUUCCCAGGAUGAAUUUCACCAGUUUAGCUUAAGAGUUGUUCAGUCUCAUCAGUGUAAAAAACAAGUAGCUGUGAACAUUCCUGAAACACUUACUUGGAGAUUCUCAUAAAGGAAAGAUCCGAGUGCCCGAACCACCAGAGUCCAUACAACCAUAGAACUGCUUGAGUUGGAAGGGACCCUUAAAGUCCAUCUUGUUCAACCCCCCUGCAAUGAACAGGGACACCUACAGCCAGAUCAGGUUGCUCCCCUUUAGAUACUGAAAGGCUACUAUCAGGUCUUCCUGGAUAUUUCUCUUCUGCAGGCUGAACAGCCCUGGCUGUAAUACAGCUAAAUAUUCUGAUGGUUUUACCUCAUAGUUUUCCAUCAGCUUUGGUUGCUGAUAGAGGAUGCAAAGAUUGAGGAUUUAAGCUUGCUGUAUUUGUUCUCUUUGUCUUUUUGCCAGACUGGCUGUGAUGAGCAGGUACUGGAUAUGCAGUUUGGUCUGUUGCAGCUGUUCUAGUACAUAAUCUGAUUCAAAAACAGGGAAUAUUUGGAGACUCUUAUUGGUAAAUACUGCUACUAUGGAUUUUAUAAGUACUGCAGAUGUGCCCUUGCCACCUUUGAUCUAGUAACAUGGUGCUUCUUACUAUGUGGACAAAUAGCUCUGAAUGUACAACUCAAAGAUUUGCCACUCUCCAUGAACAAGCUUCACUUUCUGCCAUUUGUGUCUGAGGUUAUUAUUUGAGCUGUGUGGAUCAUUCCUUACGAAAAUUAGAACUGUGAGCUAUUUAGCUGGACUUAUCUUUUCUAUAAAGGUGAAACUAAAUAGGUCUGACACAAAAUAGCUGCGAAAAGGAGAGAUUCUGAUUCUCCUUGGAGCUUGUUUUAUACCAUCUUAAAUUGCAUGUUUGCUAAUUCCUCUGUCUUAAAGACCUCAAGGAAGGCAGAAAGUAUGAUACAUCUACAUGAGUUGUACCCAGCUCUAGGCUGAUAGAGACUUUAGGCAGUAUUAAAACUGCCAUCGAUUCCAAAUCCCUAUCUUUGGGUCACAAUAAGACCAAUGAAGGUCUGCACAUGGGCCUUAACACACCUAUGUUGCUGCUAUCUUGUCUCCUGAAGCAUGACAUCCUUCUUAUAGAUUCACUGAAUCAACAUGUAAACUUCUCUAAUAAAAAUGGAAAUAAGAGUUUAUUUCUGCAUUUUAGUUUUUCUUUGCAUUUUCUGGAAGCAGUGCAAUAUAAUUCAGAUGCAGUGUGAGAAAGGCACUAUGAAAUCAUAAAUAAAGGACUCCAGUAUUCCUUUAUGAAAAAUCUUUUAACAUAAUAAAUUAAUAAUUAUUACUUCUACGGGGUUUUAUUUUGUUGGUGGUGGUGGUGUUUGGUGUUUUUUGUUGUUUGGUUCUUUUGAAGAAUCCUGUAAACCUUAACAGGAAAUUACAUGUCCAGUGCAAAAGUGUAUGAGAAGAGUCAAGAAAUCUAUGUCAUGGCUGUCAUUCUUCUUUCAAGACUAUUAACCUGAAAUCCUGGCUUCACUGCAUCUUAGCACUAAUUUCAGCAAAAAGUCAGAUGUUCACUACAUCAUGCUUUAGAAGCAACUGUCACUGUGUUAAAUUCUGCUCCUUCUUUCCCAUUCUCUUUUCCUGCUUGUCAGGUAAGUGUCCAUAAAUGUCUUGAGGCCAAAAUAAACCAGCGUGUGGAAAGGCAGAUGACUAGGAACAAGAAGGCAGAAUUCUUUGGUAAGACCAGGUAGAAGUAGAUAGGACAAAGGGUUUGAUGAAAAGGUUGAUGAAGGUUUGGAGAUUGAUGAGGAUUCUACAUCUCAAGCCAAAAUGCAGGGGUUAAAGUAUUGCAGAAUUAUUUGGUCUUCAGUGAGAAAAAUGGUUCUGCUAAGUAGUUAUACAAAUGUACUAUUUAGUCAUUCACCACAAGAAAGUGUCAGGUUUUACUGUUACAGAGCAAAGAGGGACUACAGAGGAACAUACUGCUUUCCUUAGCCUUGCUCUCCUUCUGGAUGCAAUGUUUUGUGUUACAACAUCUUGAAAACUUUUCAGUCAGAGAAAGGAGCAGCCCUGCAGCAAUGAAAGAGCAGGUGAUGGACUAAUAAUAGGAUCUCUUGUUUAUUUCCUCUUCCUUUAUUGAUGAUCAGCCUGUGGUGUGUUGAGCUGGAAGGCAGAAAAAAAAAAAGGCCAGGUCUCACAUUAGCAAGGAGUCCUCCAGCUGUUAAAGGUAAAAGUCAUCCUGGGUGAGGUCAGUCUCUCACAGUGACUCAAACGGACAGUCUUGCUUGUGUCAGCAGAAGCUCAGCUACCAUCACAGCUGCACAAACGUGGGCACUGCUUCUUCAACUAACUGCCUGGAGAUUAGACAGGUUGCUGCACGUAGGGAAGGCAGAAAGAACUCUGGUAGGAUGAACACAGGUUGGAGUGUCGGAGUGAACACUGUGAGCCCUUCCUGUUCAAGGUUACAAGAGAAGGAGGGGCCACAUUCUGAACGUGGCAGGGCUAGGCAUGUAUGGAAAAGCCUGGGAAGCAGCAAGUCUUUUUUCCUAGUUCAAAGGCCUAACCAAGCUGUUCUAGGCACCAUGAGCAUGAGCUGGGAGAGCCCAACAAGUCACUGCCAGUGCUCUGCUGCCUGGCACCAAGGCUGCUUUUUGCUUUCAGAUGCUCUGUUGUUUCUCGUUUUUAUAACACCAGUCCUUGCCAGGUGCUCCUGGGGUCUAUUUUAAGGCAAAUAAAAAUGUUUUGUCUUUCAAAAUAUCUGUGAGAUCUCUGGGGAAAACGUACUGAAAUUUUGGUUUCCAGAAACUCUCACAGAAAGUCUGAAAAUUCAAAACACUGAGAGAAAUUUGGGUUUUGAAUCCUUGAAAGCAUGCAAUCUUACAGUGGUCCUAGCAAUUAAAGCACUGGCAGCUGAUUUCCCAUAGAAUCAGAAGCGCCAGAUAUCAUGCCAGAGGUUCAUUUACUGAGCUGAUCCACUGUGGGCAGAAGCUCAAUGUUCCUGCAAUGGUCCUUAGGGCAAAACAAUUCCCUCAAAAAAGAGAAGAUGAUUCAGAAUUAUUUCACCGAAAACACACCUGGUAUUUUCUGGGUCUACUCUAGCAAGGAAACAAAUCUACAAUAAAACAAGCAUAAAACAAUGGAUAAGACACUGCUGAAUGUUUGGUCCCGUGGACAAGACAGGAGAUAAUGCAGAUCGUUGAUACUGAAUAAACAUCAAACUCUAAGCUGCACUCACUUGCCAUGUUCUGUUUUCUUGAUUAAAUCGAGUUGUUUUUGUUGAGAGGAAGAUAUAGCAAGCUGACAGCCAUACCGCCCUACCUUGCACACAACUCUACAGUAUAGAACUUAGUGUGUUUACAGUCAAUGUUCGCUAAAUCUGAGUUGCCAGGUGAAAUCAUUGCAUUUGCCUGUUUCCUUGUCUAAUGAAAAAAAUGCUUGUGAUAGCACUUGAGGUCACAACAGCACUUGGCUAAUGCAGUGAUGAUUUAAAAAACAAACAAACCAAAAAAAAAAAACAACCAUAAUUUUUUUCUGGAUUUGUUACAUGUGGGAUUUAAAGGCAGUUGCUGUACAGUGCCUGGAAACCUGAUUCACCUGUGUCACAAUUCAUCCAAUACAUCACGAUAACAACAUGUCUGAGGGAUGGGAGGCCAUCCAGAGAGAUCUAGACAGGCUUGAGCAGUGGGUCCAGGUGAACCUCAUAAGGUUCGACAAAUCCAAAUGCAUGGUCCGGCACCUGGAUCAUGGCAAUCCCCGCUAUAAAUACAAGCUGAGGUACUAGAAGAUAGAGCACGGCCCUGUUGAGAAAGACUUGGGGGUACUGGUGGAUGGCAAGCUGGACAUGAGCCAGCAAUGUGCCUUCUCAGCCGAGAAAGCCAGCUGUAUCCUGGGCUGCAUCAAAAGAAGCAUAGCCAGCAGGUCAAGGGACAUGAUCCUUUCCACCUCUAAGACCUCACCUGGAGCACUCCAUCCAGAUGUGGAAUUCUCAGUACAGGAGAGUCAUGGACCUGUUGGAGCGCAUCCAGAGGAGGGCCACAAAAAUGAUCCAAGGGGUGGAACACCUCCCCUGUGAGCACAGGCUGAGAGAGCUGAGGCUGUUCAGCCUGGAGAAGAGAAGGCUCUGGGGAGACUUCAUAGUGGCCUUUCAGUAUCUAAAGUGGGAGUGUAAGAAGGAAAGGGACAGACUCCUUAGCAGAAUCUGUUGUGACAGGACAAGGGGAAAUGGUUCCAAACCAAUAGAGGGGAGAUUUAGACUGGAUAUAGGGAAGAAGCUAUUUACUGUAAGGAUGGCAUGGAUGUCCUGUCCCUGGAAACACUCAAGGUCAGGCUGAAGCAAUCUGAUGUAGCUGCAGAUAUCCCUGUUUAUUGCAGGGGAGUUGAACUACGUGAGCAUUAAGGGUCUCUUCCAACUCAGAUUAUUCCUUGAUAAUUUAUCAAGGAAGUCUGAGGGCUUGGACAGGGUGUUGAUGAGACACUGAAGUAUGUGGACACCAUUACUUACUAUAUUAUGUCCUCAAGGAGUGGUGUGGAGGGAAUGGCUGCCCUUACCCCAUGGUACAGGUGCUUUUUAUCUGCAUCUCCCAGGAUCCAAAGAGAAGCCCCACUCCUUGAUCACUGAAGAUCAAAUUGAGCUAUUUACCUUCUCAAGUGUUAACAUGCAUUGGUGGCAUAUGCUUCCAAGGCUUUCUUUUGCUUGGUUUUGUUGUAUACAUGUGGAUAAUGCCAGAUAAGAUUUUGGCGCUAAGAAGGUUUCACUGAGUGCUUCUCUUUUCACCUCAUUUUGGUCUCUCCUUCUUUAAUGACCAGUGAAUUACAGUCAAUUAAAGGUGACUGAUAGGAACUGCAGGGAAUACACUCAUAAAGAAUUAUGAAAAAUAGCCAUGUACCUUGUGACCAGCGUAUACAAAUUACAUCAUAAGCAGGAAGUAGUUAUGGUUGAUUGGAGCAAUUAAAUGUUUUCUUUAAGAAAGGAAAAAAAACCCUCCAGUGAGAAUAUUUUAGAAAAUGGCUUUUUAAUCAUCUGUAGAACUGCUAGAAUGUCUGUCUUCUAAUAGUUUUAAAGUGUUCCUUAUUUAGAAUUAACUGUAAUUCUACAGAAUAGCCAAAUACUUCCCCAGGAACCUGCUUACAUGAAAGUUUAUUUUUAAUCACAAGAUCACAUCCAAAAAAAUUUACAUAGGCCAAAGGAGACCAGAGAAGAUCUGAGCACCUGUCCCCGGUGUGUAAACAGCUACAAAUUUGGGAGCCAUUGCACAGGAGAGAACACUUUCUACAAUGAUUCAGGAAGACAUGCACACAGCAAGAUUCACCACUCAAAUAAGAAGCAUUAACGCUGACAGAAAAAUCAGGUGUUUCCAGCAGCAUCAGAUGCAUACUAACCAGCAUCCUGCCACAUUAAUCAACCAGCUAAUGCCUUCAGACUUGGCUGGUUCAUCAUCUAUCCUCAUCCCUGUAGACACCACUAGUUCCGCAUGGGCAAGGACACAUUUUGGGAGGGGAAGGACCAUGGCAGCAUGCUGUGGAAGAGCAGUCUCUGCCUAGCAGUGUGGUGAGCUGCAUAUGAGCCACAUGGGCAGAUGACAAGGGACAGCUUGGUGGUGCCCGUGCAAGCCAAUGGGGGAGCUUCUGCGCGUAACAUGCCUCAGCAGUCCACUUUUGCCUGCCCGUGGAUGGGAAUGCUGCUGGUCUGCACAGCCUGGGCAUAGGCAGCGGGGGCAGUGCUGGCAGUGCGUACCAGCACCCAGCACACCAGAUGAGAGCAUGCGAAUUGGAAACUGGCUAUUAUAGACAAUAGCCCUAAAAAUCAUCCUCUUGGUACAGAGAGAACACAUGCCUGAUACUCUACCAAUUGCCUAGCUUAACACUGAGGAUACAGCUCAGGAUGUCAUAUAUGUUCACACCUUCUUUCAAGGAGACUCAUGAUGCUGGAAAAGGGUGAAAAGGCUGUAAACAGUGUUCUUUGGUCAAAGAAACCCAGAACAUGUUUCAUAUAAUAAGGUUAUUUUUACUAUUUUUUAAUCUCAGCAGAAAAUUCAUUAUAUUCCUCCUUUUUCUCUCAGCUUCGACUGUGUAUCCCCUUUGUGCUUGCAAAACAAAGGUUAUUUUUUACUCACCUGUAUAAAAUGCUUGAAGAACUCCAGAUGAUUAAAGAUAUAAAAGUCAAAGGAAAUAUGUAUAUAUGCAUGUUUAUAUAUAAUUGUUGUUACUGUUGCAGUCUGCGAGAAAAACAAAAAUUAUUCCUAGCAGAGCGUCAGGUUUUUAUUUAUUUAUUUUUUUAUGACUUUGGAAGCUUUUUAAUAGCUAGUGAUCAGAUGAAACAACUGCUCUUGAAAUCAAUGAGAACUGGAUUACGUGCUGGAGAAGAGAAAGCUUCAGGAGAAAAUGUUUACAUUACUGUUAUCUUAGAUAAUCACCAUUUCUGCCUAUGUCUUCCAGAAAAACUCAUUUUGUUUCUCUGAAAAAUAUGUAAUGAUUUCAAGAUCAUUUCAGAGGCCAAACACGCUAGAAAUUCAAAUCCAUGAUCUAAAUGCUUACAAAAAGUGUCUCAGAUCAGUAAAAACAAGCUGAAGAGAAUGAGAAGAUACUCUUUGAUUAUCUAACCUCCUUGACUGCAGUACGUUUAUUCUGUUUUCUUCUUACCGUUUUCUUCUUCUUGAGGAUUUGAAAUUACUUCUCUUUGAAUGUAGAGGAUAUAAAUUAAUCAAUAAAGUCAAUAGUAGCCCUUAUAAACAUAGCUUAAAUAUAUAUCUGUGUGUCCUACGCUACAAAAGAUAGCAGCAACUGAAGCAAUUUCCCCCAUGGCCUAAAUCCUAACUACCAUCUAGUUCCAGGAAAGCUAGUACAGCAUUUGCUGUUUCACACAGAUGCCAUAAAACAGACAGACCAUUAAAAUGAACACUGACACAUUUAUAGUCAUACAGCUUGGCUCUUCGCUGUGACGUUGCCCUUGAAGUGUUGAUGUCAUACCAAAAUUGCACCUCCUCCUACAGUGUAAAUUAUUCUGUAAUUCCAUGGUUCUGUGAUAGCACUACUGUGCCCACCAGUGCUACAAUGGACUCGUUAACAGCUGAGCCUUUCCUUACCACUACAGCCUCAUGAACUGCCUCUCUGCUGCUCUUCACUGCAGGAGGCCAGCUUACAUUGCUAUUGGUAUUAACUGUUAACCAGCCUAUCUGCACUCAGACAGAAAUCAGAGUGAAACAGCAACAUUCAGCAUUUCUCAAAAGGUAAUCUAAGUUCUGGAUUUUCCAUCCAAGUGGCACAAAGUCCUUUGUAACAUGCAGCGACAAGGCUUGCAAUUCAGGCCCUCAGCUGUUCUUCACACCUCUCAGGAUUUGGUGAUGAAAAUGACAUUCUGAUGUAGGGCACAUUAGCCCACUACUUUGAGUGCAAGGCCAUGUGGAUGUAGUCACUAAUGCUGUGGGAAAGAUUUGUAUCCAGAAGGCUGCAGUAACACCCUCAGAAGGAAAGCAUUGGGCUAAUACUAGGAACAAGAGUCUGGAAGAGCGCCCAGAUUCAUAAGAAAAAAUAUAUAUAGUUUCCACUACAGCUUGUCAAUGAAUAUUGAAAAAGGAUGAGUGAUGAUUAAGAGUUUAAAAUAAUCCCCUUUCCACCCUUUCACCUGCCUCCAGUCAAAUCAUAAAGC